UACGUAGGGUGCAAGCGUUGUCCGGAAUUAUUGGGCGUAAAGAGCUCGUAGGCGGUCUGUCGCGUCGGCUGUGAAAUCCCGAGGCUCAACCUCGGGUCUGCAGUCGAUACGGGCAAACUUGAGUGUUGCAGGGGAGACUGGAAUUCCUGGUGUAGCGGUGAAAUGCGCAGAUAUCAGGAGGAACACCGGUGGCGAAGGCGGUUCUCUGGGCAUGUCCUGACGCUGAGGAGCGAAAGCGUGGGGAGCGAACAGG
rnacentral:rRNA from 1 species